ACCACGCCUACUUUGUUCACGUAAACCUGUAUUGUAAAAUUUAAAUAAAAAUGUAUAGGGUUGGCCUAUUUUUUUUAGGGUAGUUCGGGUUACGCCAACAUAACAUUUUGUUUUUAAGGCCUUUUAUGAAGAAGCUGCUUUACCAAAUAUUAAAUUUAAAUUAUUAAACUGAUAUUUUACAUUAUGCAAAUAUUGACUGCUUAUCAAGAAAAUGGUGAAAUCUAUCGCCCUGAGGUGAUGCGAGACGUAGCGGGUAUUGCUAAAUCCCGCAAAUCCUGCAUACCCCACAAACCUCCAAAAUCACAUUGUAGAACUCAUCCAAACUACAACUUUAGAUAUAAACAAGUGAAGAAAAGUCAUGUCUCUCCUAUGCAAACAGAUGAUGAAAUUGUACCAGAUUCUGUUGACAGUGAUCUCUCUGCUAAAAUACCAGCACUUCACAAAAAAGAAAAAAUGAAAAAAAAAAUUACAGGAAAGAACAACCCGAUGGCGAGAAGAUUGAUGAAGAAUAUGUAGACAUUGAUACCUUUGCUAGAUCACCCCCAGAUAGUGAAAAUGUUGACCAAGCACUAGUCAAUGAUUCUAUACAACCACCAGAUAGUAAGAAAAUUGAUCUAGAAUCUGUUGUUUCCGACACUGAAAGCUUUGUUAUAUCACCACCAGAUGGUGAGAAGAUUGCCAAGAAUCAGUUGUUUCAGACAUUGAUACCUUUGCUAGAUCACCACCAGAUAGUAAGAAGAUUGAUCAAGAAUCUGUUGUUUCCGACACUGAAAGCUUUGUUAUAUCACCACCAGUUUUAAAUGAUGUACAGUAAUUUUAGC
rnacentral:lncRNA from 1 species